UUGUAGCUCAGCAGGUAGAGCAACUGAUUCGUAAUCAGUAGGUCAGCGGUUCAAAUCCGCUCA
rnacentral:tRNA from 1 species